AUUUAAAUAGCUUAUGUAUAGAGUGUAAUAUUGAAGAUAUUAAGGAGAUUAUAUAAUCUUUAAAUA
rnacentral:tRNA from 1 species